rnacentral:rRNA from 1 species
GUGAGGAAUUUUCCGCAAUGGGCGAAAGCCUGACGGAGCAAUGCCGCGUGAAGGAUGAAGGCCUAUGGGUUGUAAACUUCUUUUCUCAGAAAAGAAUUAUGACGGUAUCUGAGGAAUAAGCAUCGGCUAACUCUGUGCCAGCAGCCGCGGUAAGACAGAGGAUGCAAGCGUUAUCCGGAAUGAUUGGGCGUAAAGCGUCUGUAGGUUGUUUAAAAAGUAUUCUGUCAAAGAUUAGGGCUUAACCCUAGAUAGGCAGAAUAAACUUUUAAGCUAGAGUUUGGUAGAGGCAGAGGGAAUUCCCGGUGGAGCGGUGAAAUGCGUAGAUGUCGGGAGGAACACCAAAGGCGAAGGCACUCUGCUGGGCCAAUACUAACACUGAGAGACGAAAGCGAGGGGAGCAAAUGGGAUUAGAUACCCGAGUAGUCC